CCAAUAGCGUAUAUUAAAGUUGUUGCAGUUAAAAAGCUCGUAGUUGAAUUUCGGGGUUUAUCCGUUGGUCGGGCUUUUGGGUCUGUACUGGCGUGAUGGAUUCCUACCUUCUGAAUAACCAGCAUGUCAUUAAUUUGGUGCGUUGGGGAAGCAGGACUAUUACCUUGAAAAAAUUAGAGUGCUUAAAGCAGGUUAUUGCCUGAAUACAUUAGCAUGGAAUAAGGAAAUAGGACGCAUGGUUCUAUUUUGUUGGUUUCUAGGAUCACCGUAAUGAUUAAUAGGGAUAGUUGGGGGCAUUAGUAUUCAAUUGUCAGAGGUGAAAUUCUUGGAUUUAUUGAAGACUAACUUCUGCGAAAGCAUUUGCCAAGGAUGUUUUCAUUAAUCAAGAACGAAAGUUAGGGGAUCGAAGACGAUCAGAUACCGUCGUAGUCUUAACCAUAAACUAUGCCGACUAGGGAUCGGACGAUGUUAAUUUUUUAAUGACUCGUUCGGCGCCUUACG
rnacentral:rRNA from 1 species